rnacentral:rRNA from 1 species
AUUGAACGCUGGCGGCAGGCCUAACCCAUUCCAGUCGUACGAGUGGCGGACGGGUGAGUAAUGUCUGGGAAACUGCCUGCUGGAGGGGGAUAACUACUGGAAACGGUAGCUAAUACCGCAUACCAUCAGAUGUGCCCAAAUGGGAUUAGCUUGUUGGGGGUGUAACGGCUCACCAAGGCGACGAUCCCUAGCUGGUCUGAGAGGAUGACCAGCCACACUGGAAAUGAGAUACGGGCCAGACGCCUACGGGAGGCAGGAGUGGGGAAGAUGGGACAAUGGGCGCAAGCCUGAUGCAGCCAUGCCGCGUGUAUGAAGAAGGCCUUCGGGUUGUAAAGUAUGUUCAGCGGGGAGGCGUUACCCGCAGAAGAAGCACCGGCUAACGCCGUGCCAGCAGCCGCGGUAAUAC